UACAGAGGGUGCGAGCGUUGUUCGGAAUUAUUGGGCGUAAAGGGCGCGUAGGCGGUGCGGUAAGUCACCUGUGAGAUCUCCUGGCUCAACUGGGAGCUUGCAGGCGAAACUGCCGUGCUUGAGGACUGGAGAGGAGACUGGAAUUUACGGUGUAGCGGUGAAAUGCGUAGAUAUCGUAAGGAAGACCAGUGGCGAAGGCGGGUCUCUGGACAGUUCCUGACGCUGAGGCACGAAGGUCAGGGGAGCAAACGGG
rnacentral:rRNA from 1 species